UUGGCGGCUCUGAGGAGCUCGGGCUGCGGGCGCGCGCCCUGGGGGCAGCUGCGGCGGGACGCCUGCGCCUCAGAAGGGAUGUGGCGGUCCAGGGAGGCCCCCGACUGAGAGAAACCGGGGCCCUCGGGAUUCCCAGAGCCGCCGCGGGUCGUGCGUAGCGGAGCUAGAAGCCCAGCCGGAGCGCGGCCCGAAACCGGGUGGCAACGCCCCGCGCCCGGCGCACGCCUGAGGCGCACGGCUUGGCUGCUCAGGGAGCGCCAGGAGUCGGAAGAAACCGAAAGAGGCUGAGGCAACUGAGACUGAAAGAGGCAAAGUGUUUUGCCGAAGAGCACAACAGGGGCAGGUGGAGAAAUCCUGCAUUCAUUCAAUCAUGAGUCUAUUCAGCGCCUACUCUUGGCAAGGCACCUUGGUCUGUGGUACACAGAGAGGAAAAACAUGCAAACACUUCUGGGGAUUUUCCAUGUUGAUGGAAGAAAGUGUUCAGGAUACUUAAGUGAAUCCCAUUGCAG